AGAGUUUGAUCCUGGCUCAGAAUGAACGCUGGCGGCGUGCCUAACACAUGCAAGUCGCACGAGAACGGUUCCUUCGGGGGCCUAGUAAAGUGGCGGCCGGGUGAGUAACGCGUGGGUAAUCUGCCCUCGAGUGGGGAAUAACCUGGGGAAACCCGGGCUAAUACCGCAUAACAUCCUUGGGACUUCGGUUUCGAGGAUCAAAGGUGGCGCGGUUCGACCGCUACCGCUUGAGGAGGAGCCCGCGUCCCAUUAGCCAGUUGGUGGGGUAACGGCCUACCAAGGCUUCGAUGGGUAGCCGGCCUGAGAGGGUGAUCGGCCACACUGGAACUGAGACACGGUCCAGACUCCUACGGGAGGCAGCAGUGGGGAAUUUUGGGCAAUGGGCGAAAGCCUGACCCAGCGACGCCGCGUGGGUGAUGAAGGCCUUCGGGUCGUAAAACCCUGUCAUGCGGGAAGAAUGGCGCAGACUCUAACAUAGUUUGCGUUUGACGGUACCGCAGGAGGAAGCCCCGGCCAACUCCGUGCCAGCAGCCGCGGUAACACGGAGGGGGCGAGCGUUAUUCGGAAUUAUUGGGCGUAAAGGGCGUGUAGGCGGCUUCGUAUGUCCUCUGUGAAAGCCCUCGGCUCAACCGAGGAAUUGCAGGGGAAACUGCAGAGCUCGAGUCCGGGAGAGGAGAGUGGAAUUCCCAGUGUAGCGGUGAAAUGCGUAGAUAUUGGGAGGAACACCCGUGGCGAAGGCGGCUCUCUGGACCGGUACUGACGCUGAGACGCGAAAGCUAGGGGAGCAAACGGGAUUAGAUACCCCGGUAGUCCUAGCUGUAAACGAUGAGCACUUGGUGUGGCGGGUAUCGACCCCUGCCGUGCCGAAGCUAACGCAUUAAGUGCUCCGCCUGGGGAGUACGGCCGCAAGGCUGAAACUCAAAGGAAUUGACGGGGGCCCGCACAAGCGGUGGAGCAUGUGGUUCAAUUCGACGCAACGCGAAGAACCUUACCUGGGCUUGAACUUCAAGUGACAGCUUCAGAAACGAAGUCUUCCUUCGGGACACUUGGAGAGGUGCUGCAUGGCUGUCGUCAGCUCGUGUCGUGAGAUGUUGGGUUAAGUCCCGCAACGAGCGCAACCCCUGCCACUAGUUGCCAGCGGUUAGGCCGGGAACUCUAGUGGGACCGCCGGUGAUAAACCGGAGGAAGGUGGGGAUGACGUCAAGUCCUCAUGGCCUUUAUGUCCAGGGCUACACACGUGCUACAAUGGCCGGUACAAAGGGCUGCGAAGGCGCGAGCCGGAGCCAAUCCCAUAAAGCCGGUCUCAGUUCGGAUUGCAGUCUGCAACUCGACUGCAUGAAGGUGGAAUCGCUAGUAAUCGCGGAUCAGCACGCCGCGGUGAAUACGUUCCCGGGCCUUGUACACACCGCCCGUCACAUCACGAAAGUCGGCUGUACCCGAAGUCAUUGACCCAACCCGCAAGGGAGGGAGAUGCCGAAGGUAUGGUCGGCGAUUGGGGUGAAGUCGUAACAAGGUAGCUGUAGGAGAACCUGUGGCUGGAUCACCUCCUU
rnacentral:rRNA from 1 species